rnacentral:rRNA from 1 species
UACGAAGGGGGCUAGCGUUGCUCGGAAUCACUGGGCGUAAAGGGUGCGUAGGCGGGUCUUUAAGUCAGGGGGGAAAUCCUGGAGCUCAACUCCAGAACUGCCUUUGAUACUGAAGAUCUUGAGUUCGGGAGAGGUGAGUGGAACUGCGAGUGUAGAGGUGAAAUUCGUAGAUAUUCGCAAGAACACCAGUGGCGAAGGCGGCUCACUGGCCCGAUACUGACGCUGAGGCACGAAAGCGUGGGAGCAAACAGG